CGGGCUUUUGAGGUCUUCCAAGCUCGUUGGUCCAGUGUGUCUCACUCUUCUGCUGCCUACGGAUCAAUAUGUAGAACUCUCAGCUACCUCUCCAGCCCCGUGUCUCCCUGCACGCCACCAUGCUCCACACCAUGAUGAUAACGGACUGAACCUCUGAACUGCUCUGUGUUGUCUCCCUCUGUCCCUCCCUGUCCUGGCAAAGCCCGUUUUGAAGCAGCAGCACUGAGGCGUGGAGGGCAGCCUGAGAGCCGUUGUUUUGAUGCAGAGUGCCGUGGAAUACAAUAAAUUGCCCCAGUAGCAUCUUCAAAGACACAGGUUUUCUUCUCCGUCUGAGUGGCAUGGUGGACAGCACUUGGACUUCUCUGUGAAGAUGUGCAGGCUCCUCUAAGAUGUCUUUAUUAGCUCCCCUCACAGGCUGGGGCUGAAAUCCAUGCUCAAUGCACAGUGAACCAAGGCUGAGACACCAGCGUCGCUGCUCAGAGAUCCAGAGGCUGAAGUGAGCCACCUGUCACUGACAAUUCUGGCCACAGCGCUUUAUUUUGAAUCCAGAUGAAGGGGAAAGACUUGACAGUGAUUUCAGUGGGUGAAGUCCACGGCAAAGGUCUGAAUGGCACUGUUGGUGAACACAGUCUCUGGCGAUACUCGUGUUGGGGUGGUGCUACGUGGAACUCUACAAGCCUGGACGUGCUAUAUUGAACAAUCUCCUGCUGACCAUGCUGUUUCAUACCUGUUAUCUGAGGUGCUGGUAACUUCCUGACACCGCGCAGUAAGAGACAAAGCAUAUACAUAUGUUUAAGGCAACAGAGAUGCUCAGUGGUUAAGAGCAAUCCCCGUGCUUCCAAGAGAAUCAGAGUUCAGCUCCCAGCACCCUGUGGGAGGCAAACAGCUGCCUAUAAGUCCUGCUCCAGAGGAUUCAGUACCCUCUUCUGGCCUCUUCAGGCACCGCACUCAUGCACAAACCUACACUCAGACCCACAAAGUUAUACACAAUUAAAAAGAAAAAGAAUGGAGAAAGAUUAAAAAAAACAAAAACAAAAAUCUAUCAAUCAUCUCUCUAAAUUUUAGCCUUAUUAAAAACUACUUAUAAAUUAUUUUACCCCCAAAACAUUGGUAAGUUUAUGCUCAGUUUUAUAUUUCUAAAAUUUGCUUCUAAAAAUAGUUUUCUGCUUUGAUCAAAGUUUCCCAUUUCAAAGAAAUUAUGAAGGUCCACAAGGCUUGAAUUCUGAUCAGGACAAGACAGCACUUCUUUUCAGUUAAGUGUAAUGAGAAAGGAGAAUUUAUUUACUGCUUGCUUAAAUGUAUCAAUUAUUAAUUCAAAUCAAAACCAUACAUUCAAUAUUCAGCACCACAAUUUCCUGAAAUUCGUGUAUGAAAGAGACAGUCUACAGGAACCAGGAACUGUGCUUACCAGAACUUACGGACAUUUCUGGAACCAAAAGGAGAGAUAUUUGUGAGUAAGGAAGAAAGAAGGGAAUAAAACUCACAGGAACAAUUGUGCAGGGGCUGGAGAGAUGGCUCAGUGGUUAGGAGCACUGACUGCUCUUCCAGAGGUCCUGGGAUGCAUGUGGUGUGCAUACGGACACACAGGGCAAAACACUCAUGCACAUAAAAUAAAAUAAGUGAGUUUAAAAGAAUUUUUGAAGAACAAUUAUACAAACUCAAAAUACUUUUACUACCGUGAGAAGGGUACCCAAAUCAGUCAUCUCUCCAGUAUGAAGACAAAAAACAAAACAAACAAAAAUAACUACUACACUAAUAUAUUAGUUACUACUAUAGGCAAUGCAGAAAGAUAAGUGGGGUAUUGAAAACUCAGAAUAUGGGAAGCAAUGACAUACAAGGACAGAGUUUUCAAGAUUAUUAUUAUUAUUUUAUUUUAUUUUAUUUUAUUUUUUGUAUGUACAGUGCCCACAGAGGCCAGCCAUCAGGAGCUGGAAUUAGAGGUAUUUGUGAACUGUGCUAUGGGAGUGCUGGGAACUGAACUCAGGUCUUCCAGGGGAGCAAGAAGCACUCUUAACCACUGAGCAAGUAUCCCCCAGCAAGUAUGGGAAGGAUCCCAAGACCUGGGAAUGUGGCUCAGUGGCAAAGCAGUGGUCCAGGGUGCACAAGGCUGAUUUGAUCCACAGCACCGCACACACGUCACAUGUGACACACAUGCAGUUGGACACACACACACACACACACACACACACACACACGCACACGCACACGCACACGCACACGCACACACGCACACGCACACGC
rnacentral:lncRNA from 1 species